GGGGGCGAACGGUUUCGACGGGGCUGGUGAGCUAAGGGUAGCAGGCAGGGUGGCAACCUUAACAGCCACCGGGAAAAACACUUCCCGAAGCUGAACUCGCUCUGGCUGCCUAAUUAAAAGGCAGCCGCCCUACGGUGGGUGCACCUCUGGCCUGCCGAUAGGGCUCAGACACAGGGGUGUAGGAAGGUUUCUCGCUAGGCGGAAACCUUCCGAAAGGCAAGCCUAGCUAUGUACCAUCUUCCCUGCGGGUGGGGAAGUGGUACAGAAAACCAAACACCCGCUAAGCCUGUAGAAGCCCUUAAGCGGGCCAGUCUCGGACGAGGGUUCGAUUCCCUCCGCCUCCACCA
rnacentral:tmRNA from 2 species